CACUAGGAAGCUUGCAAAGCACUAGCCUUUUAAGCUAAAGAAGAGAGGGCCUCUCCCAAGUGA
rnacentral:tRNA from 1 species